CGAACUUUCAAGCAUGGCCCGAGGUAAAUACCUCGACCACUCUCAUCUCCAAAUAUCCUUUAAAAUGUGGUCGGGCCUCUCAUAGGUCGGACCUAAUAAUCGGGUCCUACUAAGGUCGGGUCCACAUGCUAAAAUAUUGUCCUCUUCUCGAGUCUCUUGCGAGUUUUAGUGCUCCUAUGACUCAACUGUUUAUCAUUAUCUAAAUACUAAACGUAUUACAAUUCAUGCUAAACCUAAAGUGGUAAUUGUGAUAUAACUCAAUCACUGUACAAGAUAAAGAUUACAGGUGGUUGAAUCCUGAUACAACUCAACCACUGACAUCUAUAAAUACAGGACUCAGCUCCAUUACUCAGGUAUGUCUUUACAAUACAAUUACAGCACAUACUUUUACACAAUUUCCCUCUCUGACUUAAGCAUCGGAGGGGCGAUAAGCACACACCUCGUUGCCUUUGUUUCAGGUAUCGGAAGCCCUUGUUCGUGCUCUUACUCGGUCCUCGGGCUCGGUAUUCAAGCAACAAGUUCGUGAUAUGCCAAGUACGAUUUUUUGGCAUCAUCAUUGGCGCCGUCUGUGGGAAACGCAACAGUUGACCACGAAGAAACCCUAUGAGAAAAGGCCGACCAAAAUAUUCCUGGAGAAAUAAAGAAAAAUGUGACAAGAAGAUAGCCAGAUGAACGAACAAAGAUCUGAGAAAUUUGCCUUAAGGCGUUUCUUGAACCAUUCAAUACCGGUGCUCAAAAAAAACUCGCAACCACAGGUUCUUCCAACCCCUCGAAACCGGUACUCUAAAAAUCGCCCGUUACCGGAAAAAAAAAAAAAAAACUCCCAAGUAGGCCCUUAAUGAAGGAGUUUUUCAGCUAAAGGUAAAAAAUACACCGUGAAAACGGUAAUCUUCGGCCAUGAAACUGGCGAAACCCAAUAAAAUAAAUAGAGAAAUUGUGGAUACAUUUGGAAAAGCGGAGGCACGUCGGGAGAAUUUCAGAAAAACAAAAGCAAAUCCAAUUUACUCCAUGCGUAGAAAAGGCAAAGGGAAAAUAAGAAGAAAACAGAAAAGCCAAAUCCUGAAUAUUCUGUGAUCUAAACUAUGGAAGGAUUAUGAUUUCGUUUAGGGGCUCGCUGCGAGGCUACCAUAACCCUAGACGACCGCUGGUGAAGUCACGGCAAGGACUCACUUCACCUCAAGGUCGAUAUUUUGACAAAAUCCUCGCACUUUAUUUCAGUCCAUGGAAGGCGAAUAACCACUCCCGGGUUUACGGUCAGUGUCUAAUUCCUAUAACUCUGUUGAGGUUGAUCCCAAAUCUUUAGUUGGAAGAGCCAUUAGCGAUCUCGAAGGUUUCGUCACAACCACCAAUGACUGACAUUGAACGAAGUUCCUGUGACUAAAUAGUACCUUCUGCUAUUCUUAAAUUAUGUUUUCCUUUUGGAAUAAGGUCACAGAGAUGGUCAAAUCUAAUUCUAAGGAUCGCACUAAUUCUAUGCUCAUAAACUGUUCGGUAGAAUGCCUGGGAAGAAAAUUGAUAAUUAUAUAAAGUAUAAUCCCCCUGUUGCUAAAUCUGCCACAGAGACCUGCCUUCGGUUGUGUUAAAAAAAAAAAAAAAAGGGCGAGGAAUUGAGCUCAAUUAAUACAGUUGGCAGCUGCUGGGAUGAAUUAGUGGGGGUUCAAAGUUGAAUUAUAUAUACACCCAAAGUGGACGGCUGGGGCUGCAAAGUUUGAAUAAAUAAUAUACACACAUAAGAUGGAAACAGCUGGGAAUUGGACUUUUGAAUGAAAAACAAAAAUGGGGGCUAAAUUGAUUGUGUCAGAGGCAAAAAAAUACAUGGCCUGUGGCACGUAACAUAUAUUUCCUUGGAAAAAUGCCUUGGUUGGAGUUCUCUUAUUUAAAGGCUCUAUUGAACAUUCUAAUUAACCGCAGUAGUCAACUGCCAACACCAAUGCUAAUCCGAUUACCAGUGCUUCCAUUAAUAGUGUUGUUAAAGCAACAAUAAUAAAAGUCGGAAUAGUGUUGGAGGAACAAGAACAAAGAUUUUACCAUGAAAAUAUACAGUAUCCAGCUCCAAACCCGGGUAUGUGUUCGCCUAACAGAGGUAUUCAUUUUUUUCUAUUUUGUUGUGAAUUUUAUAUCCCCGAGCAAUUCAACUAUGGAUAUGUCAUCAUGCUGCCCUUUUCGCUUUCUUAUCAUAGCAUGCCAUUUAUGUAUUGAUAUAGAAAAGAUGAUAUAAUGCAGUCCUCCCUUGCAU
rnacentral:lncRNA from 1 species